rnacentral:rRNA from 1 species
ACGGAGGGGGCUAGCGUUGUUCGGAAUUACUGGGCGUAAAGCGCGCGUAGGCGGAUUAGUCAGUUGGAGGUGAAAUCCCGGAGCUCAACUUCGGAAUGGCCUUCAAUACUGCUAGUCUUGAGUUCGAGAGAGGGUGGUGGAAUUCCUAGUGUAGAGGUGAAAUUCGUAGAUAUUAGGAGGAACACCAGUGGCGAAGGCGGCCACCUGGCUCGAUACUGACGCUGAGGUGCGAAAGCGUGGGGAUCAAACAGG